rnacentral:lncRNA from 1 species
UAUCAGCAGCGAUUGCGAAACGAGUUUCUUCCUUUCGACAAUCGGUUGAAGAGGAGAACGUGACAGAGUUCAAUCUUUCAGGACUCAGAGUCGUGGUGAAAACGAAACCUGGAGAAGAAGAAGAUGAAAAGAUGAAAGGGAGAAUCACGUUCUUCUCGAGGUCAAGUUGUAGAGAUUGUACCGCAGUGAGAAAAUUCUUCAAAGAGAAAAAGCUGAAAUUCGUUGAAAUCAACGUCGACGUGUUUCGUGAACGAGAGAAGGAGCUACGUGAAAGAACGGGAACGGUUUCGGUGCCGAUGAUUUUC